UGUGAGGCAGAGAGGUCUCCGUUGGACACCAGAGAGAGGCGACUGGGUGACAGAAUGAUGCCGGCAAGACUUCCUGAUCCGUCUUUUCAUGGGGACAGAAGAGAAGCAGUGGCUGUGGAACCAGAUCAGGGUCCAUUGUGCUUUGAAGAUGUUGCUGUUCGUUUCACGGACGAG